rnacentral:rRNA from 1 species
UUUAUCCCCGUGGGACUAACAUAUCAAUAAGCGGAGGAAAAGAAACUAACAAGGAUUCCCCUAGUAACUGCGAGUGAAGCGGGAAAAGCUCAAAUUUAAAAUCUGGCAGUCUCUGGCUGUCCGAGUUGUAAUCUAGAGAAGUAAUGCCCGUGCUGGACCGUGUAUAAGUCUCCUGGGAUGGGGCGUCAUAGAGGGUGAGAAUCCCGUCUUUGACACGGACUACCAGUGCAUUGUGGUAUGCUCUCAAAGAGUCGAGUUGUUUGGGAAUGCAGCUCAAAAUGGGUGGUAAAUUCCAUCUAAAGCUAAAUAUUGGCGAGAGACCGAUAGCGAACAAGUACCGUGAGGGAAAGAUGAAAAGAACUUUGGAAAGAGAGUUAAACAGUACGUGAAAUUGCUGAAAGGGAAACGCUUGAAGUCAGUCACGUUGGCCGGGAAUCAGCCUUGCUUUUGCUUGGUGUACUUUCUGGUUGACGGGUCAGCAUCAAUUUUGACCACUGGAAAAAGUCCUGGGGAAUGUGGCAGCUUCGGCUGUGUUAUAGCCCCUAGUCGCAUACAGUGGUUGGGAUUGAGGAACUCAGCACGCCGCAAGGCCGGGUUUCGACCACGUUCGUGCUUAGGAUGCUGGCAUAAUGGCUUUAAGCGACCCGUCUUGAAACACGGACCAAGGAGUCUAACAUGCCUGCGAGUAUUUGGGUGGAAAACCCAAGUGCGUAAUGAAAGUGAAAGUUGAGAUCCCUGUCGUGGGGAGCAUCGACGCCCGGACCAGAACUUUUGGGACGGAUCCGCGGUGGAGCAUGUAUGUUGGGACCCGAAAGAUGGUGAACUAUGCCUGAAUAGGGUGAAGCCAGAGGAAACUCUGGUGGAGGCUCGUAGCGAUUCUGACGUGCAAAUCGAUCGUCAAAUUUGGGUAUAGGGGCGAAAGACUAAUCGAACCAUCUAGUAGCUGGUUCCUGCCG